CGCAACGUUACAAAUCCCAAUUUUAUAUCGUACUGUCAUCCCGCAACGUGUCCAUUCAUUUUUGGCGAAUUUUCUACACUAUAACUUGGAUCAAUUGCAUCAGGCAGUGCCGCCUGGCCUUCCAGCUUCGGUCCGGUGUGAGUCGAUAAAGUAGAGUACACAUAACUCUCACUUUGCACACACCUGUGCGUUUUAUGGGAAUUGCAAUUUUCGCCCAUCUCCAUUGUCCUCCGAUUGGAUUGCAACGGCAACCGAGACUUUCUUUUAGACAAAUGCGCAUACAGACGCGAUCAAUUUCGCGAGAAUUUGUUAAUGUCUGCCGUUUAUAGACUUGAUGACGUCACAAUGUAGCCAUUAACAGACAUCGUCAAGUCAGUCGGGCUAAAUCUAGUUUACUAUUCUGUUACGAUCAGUGAAUUUCAAAUCAAUUUGCCGUUUCACUUCGAGAGUCUCUGAAAUUGCCAACUAACCUAUUGAUUGAUGUACAUAUUUAGAUAUACCUUAAUAUCAGACCUUGGGUUGUGUUUUGCAUUUCAAUCAAGUACAUGGGUACAUGUCAAUUUACGCACCAGUAGUUUCCCAACUGAUACAGCCUUUGCUAUUAUUUAUUAAAAGAUCAAUCGUGAUUCUAUCUUCAACAUCUUUAAUGUUCUCCAGUACCUGACGGCUAUUUUCUACACUUGAACAUCGCAAAUUGAAAUGGUAAGGUCUCUAUAAAUGUCGGCUCAAUUUCAGAAAAAGCUCCAGUAUAGAAGCUAUCAGUUUACUGGCCUCCCUGAUAAUGUUUUUCAUUAAAAAGAUAACCUCUUCGAAAUAUCAGUUGCUUUUUUAUGUUAUACUUUUAGGUGCAUCUGUUUUCACAGGCCCAGCCAUCACGAAAGUUCACACUAUUGAAAAGCCUGGUCAUUCGUUGUACAACUAGGCUCACGAAAACUUUGAUGCAUUAUUCUUAUCUCGAGGUUAUAUCGACCUUCUAAGGCAAAUCGGAAGAGGGUAUUCUUUUCCUUGACAUAAAGAACGGAAAUUUUAUGCAUUAGCAAGUCAUCCGCAUACAAACAGAUCAAACGCACGAGGUAUUCCGCCUCGUCCGACAACUUACCAUCCAUCAACAGAGUGUAUUAAAGAGGAAAGUAAUGACCAAAUGCCGACUGGACGAUUUUCAUGCAAGAUGAAUGUUAAAAUCCCAGGAGAUCCGGAGAACCAUUAGCUGAAUACAAUGAAUACUAUCAGUUCUCCAGAACAAGAGGCCGACAUAGGUUAAUAAUCAUGCUGAAUCAAAAGAGGUACAUUCUUGAACGAGAUUUCAAAACGAUAACAGCUGGAAGGGCAUGCGGAAAUUUCAACGGACGCUACCUGCACGUUACCUUUUGUCGCUGAUUCAUCUCGAAGAUAAAAAAUUAUAUUUUUUAUAAAUUA